AAACGAGGAGCGGAGCAACUUGGGUGUAACUUGGCGAAGUACCCAAGCCGCAUGAAGGGAGCCAGCAGAGAAGUUGGAACAUGGAGCAGAGGCACAGUGCUUUCCUUAGAUAGAGGUCAAGGACAUGAACUCUUGCAGAGGCAAGAGUAGGAUCAUGUUGUUCCAUGGGUCCUUCAUUCUGAUGGAGUGGACUCAUCUUGCAUGGUGCCAAAGACGAAGGGAGCUUCUGGGCACAUGUACCUUAUCUCGGAAAAGCAUUUGAUGGAGGAACUAAGGCGACUCAAUUUGCGG
rnacentral:lncRNA from 1 species